CUUCCUACGGGGGGCAGCAGUGGGGAAUAUUGCACAAUGGGGGAAACCCUGAUGCAGCAACGCCGCGUGAGUGGAGAAGUAUUUCGGUAUGUAAAGCUCUAUCAGCAGGGAAGAGAAUGACGGUACCUGACUAAGAAGCCCCGGCUAACUACGUGCCAGCAGCCGCGGUAAUACGUAAGGGGCGAGCGUUAUCCGGAUUUACUGGGUGUAAAGGGAGCGUAGACGGCGAUGCAAGUCUGAAGUGAAAGGCGGGGGCCCAACCCCCGGACUGCUUUGGAAACUGUAUAGCUGGAGUGCAGGAGAGG
rnacentral:rRNA from 1 species